UUAAGCGACUAAGCGUACACGGUGGAUGCCCUGGCAGUCAGAGGCGAUGAAGGACGUGCUAAUCUGCGAAAAGCGUCGGUAAGGUGAUAUGAACCGUUAUAACCGGCGAUGUCCGAAUGGGGAAACCCAGUGCAAUUCGUUGCACUAUCGUUAACUGAAUACAUAGGUUAACGAGGCGAACCGGGGGAACUGAAACAUCUAAGUACCCCGAGGAAAAGAAAUCAACCGAGAUUCCCCCAGUAGCGGCGAGCGAACGGGGAGCAGCCCAGAGUCUGAAUCAGCUUGUGUGUUAGUGGAACGGUCUGGAAAGUCCGACGGUACAGGGUGAUAGUCCCGUACACCAAAAUGCACAGGCUGUGAACUCGAAGAGUAGGGCGGGACACGUGGUAUCCUGUCUGAAUAUGGGGGGACCAUCCUCCAAGGCUAAAUACUCCUGACUGACCGAUAGUGAACCAGUACCGUGAGGGAAAGGCGAAAAGAACCCCGGCGAGGGGAGUGAAAAAGAACCUGAAACCGUGUACGUACAAGCAGUGGGAGCACCUUCGGGUGUGACUGCGUACCUUUUGUAUAAUGGGUCAGCGACUUAUAUUCUGUAGCAAGGUUAACCGUAUAGGGGAGCCGCAGGGAAACCGAGUCUUAACUGGGCGUUAAGUUGCAGGGUAUAGACCCGAAACCCGGUGAUCUAGCCAUGGGCAGGUUGAAGGUUGGGUAACACUAACUGGAGGACCGAACCGACUAAUGUUGAAAAAUUAGCGGAUGACUUGUGGCUGGGGGUGAAAGGCCAAUCAAACCGGGAGAUAGCUGGUUCUCCCCGAAAGCUAUUUAGGUAGCGCCUCGUGAAUUCAUCUUCGGGGGUAGAGCACUGUUUCGGCUAGGGGGUCAUCCCGACUUACCAACCCGAUGCAAACUACGAAUACCGAAGAAUGUUAUCACGGGAGACACACGGCGGGUGCUAACGUCCGUCGUGAAGAGGGAAACAACCCAGACCGCCAGCUAAGGUCCCAAAGUCAUGGUUAAGUGGGAAACGAUGUGGGAAGGCACAGACAGCCAGGAUGUUGGCUUAGAAGCAGCCAUCAUUUAAAGAAAGCGUAAUAGCUCACUGGUCGAGUCGGCCUGCGCGGAAGAUGUAACGGGGCUAAACCAUGCACCGAAGCUGCGGCAGCGACACUAUGUGUUGUUGGGUAGGGGAGCGUUCUGUAAGCCUGCGAAGGUGUGCUGUGAGGCAUGCUGGAGGUAUCAGAAGUGCGAAUGCUGACAUAAGUAACGAUAAAGCGGGUGAAAAGCCCGCUCGCCGGAAGACCAAGGGUUCCUGUCCAACGUUAAUCGGGGCAGGGUGAGUCGACCCCUAAGGCGAGGCCGAAAGGCGUAGUCGAUGGGAAACAGGUUAAUAUUCCUGUACUUGGUGUUACUGCGAAGGGGGGACGGAGAAGGCUAUGUUAGCCGGGCGACGGUUGUCCCGGUUUAAGCAUGUAGGCUGGUUGUCCAGGCAAAUCCGGAUAAUCAAGGCUGAGGUGUGAUGACGAGGCACUACGGUGCUGAAGUAACAAAUGCCCUGCUUCCAGGAAAAGCCUCUAAGCAUCAGGUAACAUUAAAUCGUACCCCAAACCGACACAGGUGGUCAGGUAGAGAAUACCAAGGCGCUUGAGAGAACUCGGGUGAAGGAACUAGGCAAAAUGGUGCCGUAACUUCGGGAGAAGGCACGCUGGUGUGUAGGUGAAGCCCCUGCGGGUGGAGCUGAGACCAGUCGAAGAUACCAGCUGGCUGCAACUGUUUAUUAAAAACACAGCACUGUGCAAACACGAAAGUGGACGUAUACGGUGUGACGCCUGCCCGGUGCCGGAAGGUUAAUUGAUGGGGUUAUCCGUAAGGAGAAGCUCUUGAUCGAAGCCCCGGUAAACGGCGGCCGUAACUAUAACGGUCCUAAGGUAGCGAAAUUCCUUGUCGGGUAAGUUCCGACCUGCACGAAUGGCGUAAUGAUGGCCAGGCUGUCUCCACCCGAGACUCAGUGAAAUUGAACUCGCUGUGAAGAUGCAGUGUACCCGCGGCAAGACGGAAAGACCCCGUGAACCUUUACUAUAGCUUGACACUGAACAUUGAGCCUUGAUGUGUAGGAUAGGUGGGAGGCUUUGAAGCGUGGACGCCAGUCUGCGUGGAGCCAACCUUGAAAUACCACCCUUUAAUGUUUGAUGUUCUAACGUUGGCCCCUGACCGGGGUUGCGGACAGUGUCUGGUGGGUAGUUUGACUGGGGCGGUCUCCUCCCAAAGCGUAACGGAGGAGCACGAAGGUUAGCUAAUCCUGGUCGGACAUCAGGAGGUUAGUGCAAUGGCAUAAGCUAGCUUGACUGCGAGCGUGACGGCGCGAGCAGGUGCGAAAGCAGGUCAUAGUGAUCCGGUGGUUCUGAAUGGAAGGGCCAUCGCUCAACGGAUAAAAGGUACUCCGGGGAUAACAGGCUGAUACCGCCCAAGAGUUCAUAUCGACGGCGGUGUUUGGCACCUCGAUGUCGGCUCAUCACAUCCUGGGGCUGAAGUAGGUCCCAAGGGUAUGGCUGUUCGCCAUUUAAAGUGGUACGCGAGCUGGGUUUAGAACGUCGUGAGACAGUUCGGUCCCUAUCUGCCGUGGGCGCUGGAGAAUUGAGGGGGGCUGCUCCUAGUACGAGAGGACCGGAGUGGACGCAUCACUGGUGUUCGGGUUGUCAUGCCAAUGGCACUGCCCGGUAGCUAAAUGCGGAAGAGAUAAGUGCUGAAAGCAUCUAAGCACGAAACUUGCCCCGAGAUGAGUUCUCCCUGAGACUUUAAGUCUCCUGAAGGAACGUUGAAGACGACGACGUUGAUAGGCCGGGUGUGUAAGCGCAGCGAUGCGUUGAGCUAACCGGUACUAAUGAACCGUGAGGCUUAACCUU
rnacentral:rRNA from 1 species